AUACGGAGGGUGCAAGCGUUAUCCGGAAUCACUGGGUUUAAAGGGUGCGUAGGCGGCUAAAUAAGUCAGAGGUGAAAUCUUCCUGCUUAACGGGACAAUUGCCUUUGAAACUGUAUAGCUUGAAUUAAGUUGAGGUUAGCGGAAUGUGACAUGUAGCGGUGAAAUGCAUAGAUAUGUCAUAGAACACCAAAUGCGAAGGCAGCUGGCUAGGCUUAUAUUGACGCUGAGGCACGAAAGCGUGGGGAGCGAACAGGAUUAGAUACCCUAGUAGUCC
rnacentral:rRNA from 1 species